GAUGAACGCUGGCGGCGUGCCUAAUACAUGCAAGUCGAGCGAACGGACGAGAAGCUUGCUUCUCUGAUGUUAGCGGCGGACGGGUGAGUAACACGUGGAUAACCUACCUAUAAGACUGGGAUAACUUCGGGAAACCGGAGCUAAUACCGGAUAAUAUUUUGAACCGCAUGGUUCAAAAGUGAAAGACGGUCUUGCUGUCACUUAUAGAUGGAUCCGCGCUGCAUUAGCUAGUUGGUAAGGUAACGGCUUACCAAGGCAACGAUGCAUAGCCGACCUGAGAGGGUGAUCGGCCACACUGGAACUGAGACACGGUCCAGACUCCUACGGGAGGCAGCAGUAGGGAAUCUUCCGCAAUGGGCGAAAGCCUGACGGAGCAACGCCGCGUGAGUGAUGAAGGUCUUCGGAUCGUAAAACUCUGUUAUUAGGGAAGAACAUAUGUGUUAGUAACUGUGCACAUCUUGACGGUACCCUAUUCAAAAGCCACGGCUAACUACGUGCCAGCAGCCGCGGUAAUACGUAAGGGGGCAGCGUUAUCCGGAAUUAUUGGCGUAAAACGCGCGGUAGCGGUUUUUUAAGUCUGAUGUGAAAGCCCACGGCUCAACCGUGGAGGGUCAUUGGAAACUGGAAAACUUGAGUGCAGAAGAGGAAAGUGGAACUCCAUGUGUAGCGGUGAAAUGCGCAGAGAUAUGGAGGAACACCAGUGGCGAAGGCGACUUUCUGGUCUGUAACUGACGCUGAUGUGCGAAAGCGUGGGGAUCAAACAGGAUUAGAUACCCUGGUAGUCCACGCCGUAAACGAUGAGUGCUAAGUGUUAGGGGGUUUCCGCCCCUUAGUGCUGCAGCUAACGCAUUAAGCACUCCGCCUGGGGAGUACGACCGCAAGGUUGAAACUCAAAGGAAUUGACGGGGACCCGCACAAGCGGUGGAGCAUGUGGUUUAAUUCGAAGCAACGCGAAGAACCUUACCAAAUCUUGACAUCCUUUGACAACUCUAGAGAUAGAGCUUUCCCCUUCGGGGGACAAAGUGACAGGUGGUGCAUGGUUGUCGUCAGCUCGUGUCGUGAGAUGUUGGGUUAAGUCCCGCAACGAGCGCAACCCUUAAGCUUAGUUGCCAUCAUUAAGUUGGGCACUCUAAGUUGACUGCCGGUGACAAACCGGAGGAAGGUGGGGAUGACGUCAAAUCAUCAUGCCCCUUAUGAUUUGGGCUACACACGUGCUACAAUGGACAAUACAAAGGGCAGCGAAACCGUGAGGUCAAGCAAAUCCCAUAAAGUUGUUCUCAGUUCGGAUUGUAGUCUGCAACUCGACUACAUGAAGCUGGAAUCGCUAGUAAUCGUAGAUCAGCAUGCUACGGUGAAUACGUUCCCGGGUCU
rnacentral:rRNA from 1 species